UCCAACUUUCAGCUUACCAUAUCCCGUUGUAAAACCUUUGCUGUCAUCUCCAAAGAUUACAAUUGGGCCGGUUCUCAUCACCACAUCUGUGAGCAGGGACUUUUCACCAGUCAUGUGUCUUGAACAACCACUAUCAAGAACCCACACAACUUUUCUUUUCUUUCCUGUGCCCUGCAUUCACAAAUGGAUUAAACUUUCUUUGGUACCCAGACGUUCUUGGGUCCAGGUGGUUUAGUAGAAACAGGAUUAUCAACAGAAACUGGUUUAACAUGUGCUUGUUCAGGGGUGACUGAACUCUUCUCC
rnacentral:lncRNA from 1 species